GCAGCCAUGCCGCGUGUAUGAAGAAGGCCUUCGGGUUGUAAAGUACUUUCAGCAGUGAGGAAGGCGGGUACGUUAAUAGCGUGCUCGUUUGACGUUAGCUGCAGAAGAAGCACCGGCUAACUCCGUGCCAGCAGCCGCGGUAAUACGGAGGGUGCGAGCGUUAAUCGGAAUUACUGGGCGUAAAGCGCAUGCAGGUGGUUUGUUAAGUCAGAUGUGAAAGCCCGGGGCUCAACCUCGGAAUUGCAUUUGAAACUGGCAGACUAGAGUACUGUAGAGGGGGGUAGAAUUUCAGGUGUAGCGGUGAAAUGCGUAGAGAUCUGAAGGAAUACCGGUGGCGAAGGCGGCCCCCUGGACAGAUACUGACACUCAGAUGCGAAAGCGUGGGGAGCAAACAGGAUUAGAUACCCUGGUAGUCCACGCCGUAAACGAUGUCUACUUGGAGGUUGUGGCCUUGAGCCGUGGCUUUCGGAGCUAACGCGU
rnacentral:rRNA from 1 species